AGUGAACGCUGGCGGCGUGCUUAACACAUGCAAGUCGAACGAGAACGGGUUAUAGCUUGCUAUAAUUGUCAGCUAAGUGGCGCACGGGUGAGUAAUGUAUAGGUAAUAUGCCUCUUACUAAGGGAUAACAAAUGGAAACGUUUGCUAAUACCUUAUACUCCUUAUUAACAUAAGUUAAUAAGGGAAAGAUUUAUUGGUAAGAGAUUAGCCUGUAUUGUAUCAGUUAGUUGGUGGGGUAAUGGCUUACCAAGACUAUGACACAUAACUGGUUUGAGAGGAUGAUCAGUCACACUGGAACUGAGACACGGUCCAGACUCCUACGGGAGGCAGCAGUGGGGAAUAUUGCACAAUGGGCGAAAGUCUGAUGCAGCAACGCCGCGUGGAGGAUGACACAUUUCGGUGUGUAAACUCCUUUUAUAUGAGAAGAUAAUGACGGUAUUAUAUGAAUAAGCACCGGCUAACUCCGUGCCAGCCGCCGCCGUAA
rnacentral:rRNA from 1 species